AUUUAUAUAGUUUAAGAAAAACCUUAUAUUUUCAAUAUAAAAAUAAAUUUUUAUUUUAUAAAUA
rnacentral:tRNA from 1 species